AGAAAAUGCGCAAGUCCUCUGAGUGAUGUCUAUCACGGAAGUUGUAAAACUGUGCCGAGUGUGACCACAGCUUGUGCGUAGAAAUGGACUGAAGAAAACAUCCUAAAACGUUCACAGCGAGUUGUCCCACUGAGUGAUUCCUUUUUUCUACGUCUAUAUUUCUACUUUUCUUGAUUGGUGGAGUCACCUGAUCUUGUGUCUGUUCAAGCCUCGGUCAACAACCUGGGAGGCCUCUUCCGUCACCAAGUCACCGUGAACUCAUGCGGCCCUCCUGCCUCUUCCUCUAAGCUCCUUCACCAGGAGAACUGAUGGUCACAUCUACCUUGUUGGACUGUCAUGAGGUACAAAUGGGAUGGUGAUGAUAAACGUUCUUGAAGAACCACAGAGCAUCGUGAAAGAGAAGACUUUCAUGAACAAUCAGAGUGCGUUGUGUUUGCACAUUUAUCCUGAGAACAACCCUAAAAUGGAAUCAAUUAUGAUGCUUCAAUAUUGCAUAAGGAAUAUGGAAAAUAACCAAGAAUGGAAUAUUUGCUUAAAAUCAAAAUUAUCCGGAAAUCAAAUUCUAGUCUGACUCCUUAGCUUAGGUUUCGAAUUUCAGGAUUACACUGCCACCUAGUGCAGACAAACAUUUUCGCAGAGUGUGAAAGCUAGUGAAUGCGCAUAAAAUUUCACAGGAUGCAACAUAAACAAUGCUUAUUUAAGGGUUCUUUCAUAAAACAGAAAGAGCGAUUUCAGAAUUACAGAUCUCUAUCUAUGUGUUUUUUUGCUGAGGAAGAUUUGCCCUGAGCUAACGUCUGUUGUCAAUCUUCCUUUUUUUUAAAGCGAGCUGCCACCACAGCAUGGCUGCUGACAGGCGAGUGGUGAAGUUCUGAGCCCAGGAUCUGAACCUGGACUGCCAAAGUGGAGUGUGCCAAACUUAACCACUAGGCCACUGGGGCUGGCCUCUAUGUUUUAAUGGUAAAGGGUAACAUGGAAUUCAGGAACACACUUUAGAUUUCUUGCUUGAUAAAUGAGCAUAGCGCAGAGAGAAGACUUGGGUUUCUGUACUUCAUUCUGCUGAGUAAAUUUCUUGAUACAUGUCUAGUAAGGAAAUUAGUACAAUUUUUUCAUGAGCACAAAAGUUCCCAGUGGGUCUUAUGCGUUCAGCUAAUAAUUAUUUAAAAAAUUUAUGCAGCAAAUACUUAACUAAACACGUACACUCUGAAGGUCAGUAUCUGUUCUAACAAAGGAGGGGGAGCCUAACGGAGUAGAAAACGUGAGCUUUGUGAGCCGUGGUUCUCGCUGGACCAGCAGCCCAGCGUCGCCUGGGGGCUUGUUGGAAAGGUGAGUUCUCAGACCCGCCGGGAUCUCCUGAAUCAGACUCUGGGGCUGGAGUCCAGUGACGUUUUUAACAAGUCGUUCAGAUGAUUCUGACGCAGUGUGGGAAGCACUGACAGAGAAGACGUCCUUCCAGGAUGGGAGAAGCAGGCUGAGGGGUCACACGAGGUUAAUCAGAAGAAGGGUAGACUCAGGACACCAAGGGCUGCUGCAAACUGACGCUCACCCACGAAGCAGCGCUCCCGGUGGCAGCUCCUGGAAGCUCCUGGUUUCUGUGCAGGGGAAUGGAUUCCUCUCUUCCGUGGGGAAAUGGAAAUGCCCACAUUUUAGGAGAAGCAAAAGUGAUGCACUGAAAAGCCUGGGGAUGGGGUUUAUCUUAAAUACACAUUCUUCUAUUAAUGGUCUGUGGUGUGAACACAUUUGUUUGUGAGUGAUUCCAGAGAGAAAUGGCUACUGUCAUGGGCUCUAUUUGCUUGCUUUAUACGAUUAGGCUACAAUUACAAGUAUAGGACCAAAAUAAGCAGAUUCAAAAUAGAGCUUUGAUUUUGCUGAAAUGUCUUUGCAGUAAAACUGAACCCAAUGCAAAACUGGGGGUGUCCUAGAUUUAGCAGCUCUCUGUUAAUCAGCCUCCCAGCCGGAGAUCUCCGGGAUAAAUUUCUGGCUCGAGCUGUGGCUAAUUUGCAGCAUCCUCACACAGCUGAUAUGUGUCACUAGGAACUUUGGGUCUUUUAUUUCUAAAGGUAAGAUAGACAGAAGAAAGCUUAAAACUCCAUAUUAUUACAAAGCUAAUUUUUAAAGUGCCUCUUUGUUUUAAUCUGUAAAAUCUAUAAAUAUGAGAGUCAUGCCAUGUUUAAUUAACACAAGUUUAUGGCAACUUCACUUAAAAAGAAUAUUUUCUAAAGAAUAUAGUUGUGUUAAAACCAAGGAACUUGCCCCACUAUUCUGUGAGUUUUAUGGGGCCUCCCAACCGUUGUGCCCCGUAUCAGGAAGCAAGAGAAAAUAUACCUCUUGGCAUUUCUAGAACCUACUGCAUUUUAAUCCAAUGUUUUUAAAAUCAUGGGUUGCAACCCAUUAGCUGGUCCUGAAAUCAAGUUAUUGAGAUGGUCACCAUCACUAAAAAACGAAAUAGAACAAAACAGAAAGUAGAGAGCACCACCUUCAAGUGGGUAAGUGUUGUCUUCUGAAACUGUGUUUUGUGUACGUAUCUGUAUUGAUCAAAUCCAGUCGCUCCAUCUCUCCAGCAACUUCACACGCACCUUUCUGAAGACACUUCUAGAGAAGUCCUCUGCGCCCUCAGCCCCUUCACCCAGUUCCCAUAACAGCCAGAAUAAAGUCCAAACUCUUUCACGGGUUUCA
rnacentral:lncRNA from 1 species